rnacentral:rRNA from 1 species
GAUGAACGCUGGCGGCGUGCCUAAUACAUGCAAGUAGAACGCUGAAGGAGGAGCUUGCUCUUCUGGAUGAGUUGCGAACGGGUGAGUAACGCGUAGGUAACCUGCCUGGUAGCGGGGGAUAACUAUUGGAAACGAUAGCUAAUACCGCAUGACAACAGUUAUUGCAUGAUAACUGUUUAAAAGGGGCAACUGCUCCACUACCAGAUGGACCUGCGUUGUAUUAGCUAGUUGGUGAGGUAACGGCUCACCAAGGCGACGAUACAUAGCCGACCGGAGAGGGUGAUCGGCCACACUGGGAAUGAGACACGGCCCAGACGCCUACGGGAGGCAGCAGUAGGGAAUCUUCGGCAAUGGACGGAAGUCUGACCGAGCAACGCCGCGUGAGUGAAGAAGGUUUUCGGAUCGUAAAGCUCUGUUGUAAGAGAAGAACGAGUGUGAGAGUGGAAAGUUCACACUGUGACGGUAUCUUACCAGAAAGGGACGGCUAACUACGUG